rnacentral:rRNA from 1 species
AACGAACGCUGGCGGCAUGCCUAACACAUGCAAGUCGAACGAGACCUCCGGGUCUAGUGGCGCUCGGGUGUGUCACGCGUGGGAACCUGCACUUAGGUACGGAAUACUUCUCUGUCGGGGGUGCUAAUACAGGAUAAUGUACUCGGAUACAAGAUUUAUCGCACUGGGGUGGGCACGGGUUGGUUUAGCCUGUUGGUAGGGUAAGAGCCUAUCAAGGCGACGAUCCAUAGCUGGGUUGAGAGGAAGAGCAGCCACACUUGGGCGGGGACACAGCCCAGACUCCUACGGAAGGCAGGAGUGGGGAAUACAGGACUAGGGGGUAGGUCCUGAUCCAGCAAUGCCGGGUAAGUGAUGAUGGCCUGAGGGAUGUAAAGCUCUUUUACCCGGGAUGAUAAUGACGGUACCGGGAGAAUAAGCACCGGCUAACUCCGUG